GCGCGACACUCUUGUGACUGUGGUGGCGGCUCCGCGGACUCCUUUGGGAUUGAGGGUAGGAUGUCAUCGCCAAAGCAUUGGGUGGUAAUAGAGCGAG
rnacentral:snRNA from 1 species